UUCCCAGCAUCAGAGUCUUUUCCAAUGAGUGGGUUCUUCGCAUCAGGUGGGCAAAGUAUUAGAGCUUCAGCUUCAGCAUCAGCCCUUCCAGUGAAUAUCCAGGGUUGAUUUCCUUUAGGAAAUUUAGACUGAGGCAGACCAAGGUAUAAUUCAAGUGGCAGUCCAUCCAUCUGGGACCUGAGACCCCACCUUUGAUACGAGGACCCUGAAACACACUGUUCCAGCAUCACGGUCUUUUCCAGUGAGUCGACUCUUCCCAUCAGGUGACCAAAGUAUUGGAGCUUCAACUUCAGCAUCAGUCCUUCCAAUGAAUACUCAGGGUGGAUUUCCUUUAGGAUUGACUGGUUUGAUCUCCUUGUAGUCUCAAGAAUCUUCCAGCAGGCACUGUCAUUCACCAGCUGUGUAACCUUGGUGACCUGAAACUCACAGGAAAGUUGCAAGAACAAUGUAAAGAAUUUUUUUUUCUUGGACUUCCCUGGUGGUACAGUGGAUAAGAAUCUGCCUGCCAAGGAAGGGGACACGGGUUUAAUCCCUGGUCCAGGAAGAUUGCACAUGUUGCAGGGCAACAGCAGCAUGCGCUGUAAUCCCAUGCACCACGACUGAGCCCAUGUGCUGCGACCGCUGAAGCCUGUGCCCCAGCCAGAGAAGCCACUGCAGUGAGAAGCCCAUGCACCUCAACUGGAGAGGAGCCCCCACUUGCUGCAACUAGAG